rnacentral:tRNA from 1 species
GGGCUCUUAGCUCAGUUGGAAGAGCGCCUCAAUGGCAUUGAGGAGGUCAGCGGUUCGAACCCGCUAGGGUCCA